rnacentral:tRNA from 1 species
AGUCCUGUAGCUCAGUGGUUAGAGCACUCGCCUCUCAAGCGAGAGGACCUGGGUUCAAUUCCCAGCAGGGCAA